UUAAUAAGUCAAAACUUUCAACAACGGAUCUCUUGGUUCUGGCAUCGAUGAAGAACGCAGCGAAAUGCGAUAAGUAAUGUGAAUUGCAGAAUUCAGUGAAUCAUCGAAUCUUUGAACGCACAUUGCGCCCAUUAGUAUUCUAGUGGGCAU
rnacentral:rRNA from 1 species